UACGUAGGGACCGAGCGUUGUCCGGAAUCAUUGGGCGUAAAGAGCGUGUAGGCGGCCCUUUAAGUCCUGCGUGAAAUCCUGCGGCUCAACCGCAGACGGUCGUGGGAAACUGGAGGGCUAGAGUGCGGGAGAGGAGAGUGGAAUUCCCGGUGUAGCGGUGAAAAUGCGCAGAUAUCGGGAAGAACACCCCGUGGCGAAGGCGGCUCUCUGGAACGCAACUGACGCUGAGACGCGAAAAAGCGUGGGGGGAGCAAAACAGG
rnacentral:rRNA from 1 species